rnacentral:rRNA from 1 species
UACAGAGGGUGCAAGCGUUAAUCGGAAUUACUGGGCGUAAAGCGUGCGUAGUCGGUUAUUUAAGUCGGGCGUGAAAGCCCCGGGCUCAACCUGGGAAUUGCGUUCGAUACUGGAUAGCUAGAGUUCGGCAGAGGGAAGCGGAAUUUCGGGUGUAGCGGUGAAAUGCGUAGAUAUCCGAAGGAACAUCAGUGGCGAAAGCGGCUUCCUGGGCCGACACUGACGCUCAUGCACGAAAGCGUGGGGAGCAAACAGG